rnacentral:misc_RNA from 1 species
UCCGGCUUAUCACCGGCAGUCCCACUAGAGUGCCCAACUAAAUGAUGGCAACUAAGGACGGGGGUUGCGCUCGUUGCGGGACUUAACCCAACACCUCACGGCACGAGCUGACGACAGCCAUGCAGCACCUGAGCUGGCGGCCCUUGCGGGCUCCCUUCCCUUUCAGGUCGGUACGCACCAGCAUGUCCAGCCUGGGUAAGGUUCUUCGCGUUGCGUCGAAUUGAACCACAUGCUCCGCUGCUUGUGCGGGCCCCCGUCAAUUCCUCUGAGUUUUAGCCUUGCGGCCGUACUCCCCAGGCGGGGUGCUUAAUGCGUUAGCUUCGGCACGGACGGAGUCGACACCGCCCACACCUAGCACCCAUCGUUUACGGCGUGGACUAC